AUGAACGCUGGCGGCGUGCCUAACACAUGCAAGUCGAACGAGAAAGGUAGCAAUACCGAGUACAGUGGCGCACGGGUGAGUAAUGCAUAGGAAUCUGCCUUUUAGUGGAGAAUACCCUAGAGAAAUUUAGGUUAAUACUGCAUAAUCCGGUAACGGGAAAGGGGGCCUCAAGCUCCCGCUGAAAGAUGAGCCUAUGUUCUAUUAGCUAGUUGGUAGGGUAAAAGCCUACCAAGGCGAAGAUGGAUAGUCGGCCUGAGAGGGUGUACGACCACACUGGAACUGAGACACGGUCCAGACUCCUACGGGAGGCAGCAGUGGGGAAUAUUGCACAAUGGGCGCAAGCCUGAUGCAGCGACGCCGCGUGGAGGAUGAAGGUUUUCGGAUUGUAAACUCCUGUUAAGUGGGAAGAAAGACGCCGACCUAAUACGUCGGUGGGAUGACGGUACCACUAGAGAAAGCACCGGCAAACUUCGU
rnacentral:rRNA from 1 species